AUUGAACGCUGGCGGCAGGCCUAACACAUGCAAGUCGAGCGGAUGAAGGGAGCUUGCUCCUGGAUUCAGCGGCGGACGGGUGAGUAAUGCCUAGGAAUCUGCCUGGUCUUGGGGGAUAACGUCCGGUAACGGGCGCUAAUACCGCAUACGUCCUGAGGGAGAAAGUGGUGGAUCUUCGGACCUCACGCUAUCAGAUGAGCCUAGGUCGGAUUAGCUAGUUGGUUGGGUAAAGGCCUACCAAGGCGACGAUCCGUAACUGGUCUGAGAGGAUGAUCAGCCACACUGGAACUGAGACACGGUCCAGACUCCUACGGGAGGCAGCAGUGGGGAAUAUUGGACAAUGGGCGAAAGCCUGAUCCAGCCAUGCCGCGUGUGUGAAGAAGGUCUUCGGAUUGUAAAGCACUUUAAGUUGGGAGGAAGGGCAGUAAGUUAAUACCUUGCUGUUUUGACGUUACCAACAGAAUAAGCACCGGCUAACUUCGUG
rnacentral:rRNA from 1 species